AUGCUGGUGCUUGAGACGGUGGUCAAGCGAUUCGGAGAUCUGGUUCGGACCAACGUCACUUUCGCUAACCCGCUGUCGACUGAUCGCCCAUUAGGGUCAACUGCUCAGACCCCUGCUGCUCCAGUACAACUCCAUGCGUUCGACCCAGUGGCUGCUUCGACUGCCUUGACACUAUCGUUCUUUGUUGCGUACCAAACUCCAGAUGACUCGACAAGUGCCGCCAGGGAGGCUCUUCGCCAAGUGAAUCUUGCGAUGGAGCAAGUGAAGGUGGUGCAUGAGGCCAGUCAGGUGGCCUAUAAUGCCAGCACCACUCUGCAGACCAACGUUAAGAGGUCGUGUGAUCUUGGGGCUCAACUUUUCAAACCGAACAAGAAACAAAUCAGCCUCAGUCUUGAUCUGGAGCUGGCCAAGAAGAACCUCAAGACUGCUCAGGAUGAAGCGGCUAUCAUGGGAGAUGUGCAUAGUGAAAACCGUCAACUUCAAGCUUGUCUAAAGAAUGUUAUUUCUUUAGAGAAAAUGAAGGAGGCUUUGGAUAAGAAGGAUCAUGAUCUUGCUGCUGCUCAAAAGGAGGUGCGAGAGAAGAUAGUGCUUGCGGACAAGAAGCUGGCUUCAGUCAGCAAGUUAGAAGGAGAGAACUCGAAGCUGAAGACUGCCGUCUCUGAGGCCAAUCGGGAAUUCGAGCAACUGAAGAAGGACAAGGAGAACUUAACCAAUGAAUUCGGAAGCCUCAAAGCCAAGAAGGGCGAGCUGGAGUCCUAUCUAGGACAACUUGCUGCAAAACUGGUCCUGAAGCUUGAAGAACUUUGUCAGGACUUUGAGGUUGAGACUGGGUGGGUCGAGACGGGUCUCAACCCCAUCAAUUGUCCUGUUAAAGAUGAUGUUGUGAUGAACUUGCUACGGUUGGAAUCAUGCAUGGAAAACGUUGUUGCUUAUCUUGCCCGACUGAAGGCGGCGAUGACUCGGCUUGAUGCUGAACUCUGGCCUCAGGAGGAACUUUCACAAGAUCUCGAGUCGUUGAUGACUCGACUGAAUCAGAUCCCUGGCCGAGUGCAAGAAUGGAAGAAAUCGUCCGCUCGCUGUGGCCCUAACGUUGCCUUGUCGCUGGUCCGAGUGCACUGUAAGGAUGUCAGAGAAGACAAGCUGGCGGCCCUCAAGGUUGUGAACACCAAGAAGCACACUUUUCAGUCCUUUAUGGACACUUUCCUUGAAGCUGCCACUCGCAUCACAGACAACAUUGAUCUUGAUAGUUCCUAUGAUCCAACAAGCCCUUCUCCUGACGAGUGA
rnacentral:rRNA from 1 species